GGGGGGCCCAUCCUCCAAGGCUAAAUACUCCUGACUGACCGAUAGUGAACCAGUACCGUGAGGGAAAGGCGAAAAGAACCCCGGCGAGGGGAGUGAAAAAGAACCUGAAACCGUGUACGUACAAGCAGUGGGAGCACGCUUAGGCGUGUGACUGCGUACCUUUUGUAUAAUGGGUCAGCGACUUAUAUUCUGUAGCAAGGUUAACCGAAUAGGGGAGCCGAAGGGAAACCGAGUCUUAACUGGGCGUUAAGUUGCAGGGUAUAGACCCGAAACCCGGUGAUCUAGCCAUGGGCAGGUUGAAGGUUGGGUAACACUAACUGGAGGACCGAACCGACUAAUGUUGAAAAAUUAGCGGAUGACUUGUGGCUGGGGGUGAAAGGCCAAUCAAACCGGGAGAUAGCUGGUUCUCCCCGAAAGCUAUUUAGGUAGCGCCUCGUGAAUUCAUCUCCGGGGGUAGAGCACUGUUUCGGCA
rnacentral:rRNA from 1 species